UCCCUUUUGACUGAACCCCGGGAACUGGGGCUAAUCCCAGAUAGAUGAGGACCCCUGGAAUGGGUUUUCGUCCAAAAGGCAUCAUGGUUAUGCUCUGUGGUGUCGCUCAAGGAUGGGGCCGCGUCCGAUCAGGCUGUUGGUGAGGUAAUGGCUCACCAAACCUUUAACCGGUACGGGCCGUGGGAGCGGGAGCCCGGAGAUGGGAACUGAGACAAGGUCCCAGGCCCUACGGGGCGCAGCAGUUACGAAAACUUGUCAAUGCACGAAAGUGUGAACGGGCUACCCCGAGUGCCGUCCGCUGAGGAUGGCUUUUCUCUGCUGUAAGAAGGCAGAGGAAUAAGGCGAGGGCAAGUCUGGUGUCAGCCGCCGCGGUAAUACCAGCUCGCCGAGUGGUAGGGAUGAUUAUUGGGCCUGAAGCGUCCGUAGCUGGCCUUUCAAGUCUCUUGUUAAAUCCAACGAUUCAAUCGCUGGACUGCAGGAGAUACUGCAAGGCUAGGAGGCGAGAGAAGCCGACGGUAUUUUCGGGGUAGGGGUAAAAUCCUAUAAUCCCGAGAAGACCACCAGUGGCGAAGGCGGUCGGCUAGCGCGCGCUCGACAGUGAGGGACGAAAGCUGGGGGAGCGAACCGGAUUAGAUACCCGGGUAGUCCCAGCUGUAAACGAUGCAGGCUAGGUGUUAGGGCGGCUACGUGCCGCUCUAGUGCCGCAGGGAAGCUGUUAAGCCUGCCGCCUGGGGAGUACGGCCGCAAGGCUGAAACUUAAAGGAAUUGGCGGGGGAGCAC
rnacentral:rRNA from 1 species